GAGAAGCUUGCUUCUCUGAUGUUAGCGGCGGACGGGUGAGUAACACGUGGAUAACCUACCUAUAAGACUGGGAUAACUUCGGGAAACCGGAGCUAAUACCGGAUAAUAUUUUGAACCGCAUGGUUCAAAAGUGAAAGACGGUCUUGCUGUCACUUAUAGAUGGAUCCGCGCUGCAUUAGCUAGUUGGUAAGGUAACGGCUUACCAAGGCAACGAUGCAUAGCCGACCUGAGAGGGUGAUCGGCCACACUGGAACUGAGACACGGUCCAGACUCCUACGGGAGGCAGCAGUAGGGAAUCUUCCGCAAUGGGCGAAAGCCUGACGGAGCAACGCCGCGUGAGUGAUGAAGGUCUUCGGAUCGUAAAACUCUGUUAUUAGGGAAGAACAUAUGUGUAAGUAACUGUGCACAUCUUGACGGUACCUAAUCAGAAAGCCACGGCUAACUACGUGCCAGCAGCCGCGGUAAUACGUAGGUGGCAAGCGUUAUCCGGAAUUAUUGGGCGUAAAGCGCGCGUAGGCGGUUUUUUAAGUCUGAUGUGAAAGCCCACGGCUCAACCGUGGAGGGUCAUUGGAAACUGGAAAACUUGAGUGCAGAAGAGGAAAGUGGAAUUCCAUGUGUAGCGGUGAAAUGCGCAGAGAUAUGGAGGAACACCAGUGGCGAAGGCGACUUUCUGGUCUGUAACUGACGCUGAUGUGCGAAAGCGUGGGGAUCAAACAGGAUUAGAUACCCUGGUAGUCCACGCCGUAAACGAUGAGUGCUAAGUGUUAGGGGGUUUCCGCCCCUUAGUGCUGCAGCUAACGCAUUAAGCACUCCGCCUGGGGAGUACGACCGCAAGGUUGAAACUCAAAGGAAUUGACGGGGACCCGCACAAGCGGUGGAGCAUGUGGUUUAAUUCGAAGCAACGCGAAGAACCUUACCAAAUCUUGACAUCCUUUGACAACUCUAGAGAUAGAGCUUUCCCCUUCGGGGGACAAAGUGACAGGUGGUGCAUGGUUGUCGUCAGCUCGUGUCGUGAGAUGUUGGGUUAAGUCCCGCAACGAGCGCAACCCUUAAGCUUAGUUGCCAUCAUUAAGUUGGGCACUCUAAGUUGACUGCCGGUGACAAACCGGAGGAAGGUGGGGAUGACGUCAAAUCAUCAUGCCCCUUAUGAUUUGGGCUACACACGUGCUACAAUGGACAAUACAAAGGGCAGCGAAACCGCGAGGUCAAGCAAAUCCCAUAAAGUUGUUCUCAGUUCGGAUUGUAGUCUGCAACUCGACUACAUGAAGCUGGAAUCGCUAGUAAUCGUAGAUCAGCAUGCUACGGUGAAUACGUUCCCGGGUCUUGUACACACCGCCCGUCACACCACGAGAGUUUGUAACACCCGAAGCCGGUGGAGUAACCUUUUAGGAGCUAGCCGUCGAAGGUGGGACAAAUGAUUGGGGUGAAGUCGUAACAAGGUAGCCGUAUCGGAAGGUGCGGCUGGAUCACCUCCUUUCUAAGGA
rnacentral:rRNA from 1 species